AACGAACGCUGGCGGCAGGCCUAACACAUGCAAGUCGAGCGAGGACUUCGGUCCUAGCGGCGGACGGGUGAGUAACGCGUGGGAACGUGCCCUUUGCUUCGGAAUAGCCCUGGGAAACUGGGAGUAAUACCGGAUGAGCCCUUUGGGGGAAAGAUUUAUCGGCGAAGGAUCGGCCCGCGUUGGAUUAGGUAGUUGGUGGGGUAAUGGCCUACCAAGCCGACGAUCCAUAGCUGGUUUGAGAGGAUGAUCAGCCACACUGGGACUGAGACACGGCCCAGACUCCUACGGGAGGCAGCAGUGGGGAAUCUUAGACAGUGGGGGAAAUCCUGAUCUAGCCAUGCCGCGUGAGCGAUGAAGGCCUUAGGGUUGUAAAGCUCUUUCAGCUGGGAAGAUAAUGACGGUACCAGCAGAAGAAGCCCCGGCUAACUCCGUG
rnacentral:rRNA from 1 species